GUGAUUCUUUAGAAUAAGGUUCUCAAGAGGGAGAACCCAGCUUCGAGCUCAGGUGGCGAUAGCUCAGCUUUGGUGGUUUCUAGAGAAGCAAGAGGCAACAGAUAGAGUGACAGGAGAUCAUAGCAAAGGCGGCCCAAGUCCAGGAUGAGAGACUUGAGCAAGAUCAAAUGUUACAGGUAUGAUGAGUUGGGACAUCUAGUUAGAGAUUACCCUCAACUC
rnacentral:lncRNA from 1 species